rnacentral:lncRNA from 1 species
AGAAAAGUAGAGAGUCGUGUAAGCAGAGCACGCCUUUCCUUGACUCUCUGUCGAGAGCUUUUGUGAUUCCAGCUGCUCUCUGCCUCAGACACGGUGCCCUCUGCGUGUGCAGUCAUCUAAAGAGUGCAGGGUGUGGGACCGUGGAGAAUCCAAGGCAGUAUAGUCAUGCUUUGCUUAACGGUGGGGAUAAGUUCUGAGGAGUGUGUCAUGGUCAGGCAAUCUCGAGACUGUGCAAACCCCACGGAGUUCCUAAACCUGGAUGGCAGAGCCUCCUACACACCUAGGCCAUAUGGGACUAAUCUGAUGGGACCCCCGUUGUUGACUGAACGUCCCGCUGUAGGGCAUGACUGUACUUCCCAACUCCAGGGCGCGGAAGUGUAGCCUGUGGGGCUUUGGAAAAGAACAGAGACGCUCAAGGCCUACUCUGGACCCACUGACUCAGAAUCUACUGGGAUAGUUCCCGGCCUUAAAGACCAGACUCCAAUCUCCUUUGCUCUGUGUGUGUUUGUCGUUGUUUUUAUCUUCUACUUAUGAGUGAGAUCACACGGUGUUUGGUGUUUGACUUUCUCCCUCUGAUUUAUUUCACUUCACGUAAUACCCUCAAGGUCCAUCCACGUUGUCACAAAUGGUCGGAUCUCAUCAUUUCUUAGGGCCGAGUGGCAUUCCAUUGUGUAUACAUACCACAUCUUCUUUAUCCAUUCUUCCCUUGAUGGGCACCUAGGUUGCUUCCAAGUUCUGGCUGUUGUGAAUAAUGCUGCAGUGAACCUAGGGGUGCAUGUGUCUUUCUGCAUUGGUGUUUUCAAGUUCUUUGGAUGAAUAGCCAGCAGUGGGCUAGCUGGAUCCUACAUACGGUAGGUAGAUGUAUUCUUAGUUUUCUGAGGAUACUCCAUCCUGCUUUCCAUAGUGGCUGCACCAGUCUGCCCUCCCCCAGCAGUGCAGGAGAGUUCCCUUCUCUCCACAUCCUCUCCGACACUUGUCUCUUGUCUUGUAAUUAGAGCCAUUCUGACCAGAGGAAGGUGACAUCCCUUGUAGUUGUGAUUUGCAUUUCUCUGAUCGCUAAUGAUGUUGAGUCCCUUUCCAUAUGCCUGUUGGCCAUCCCUAUACCUUCUUUGGAGAAAUCACUGCUCAGAUCUUUGCCCGCCUUUUUAAUUGGGUUGCUGAUUUUUUUUGCUGUUGAGAUGUAUGAGUUCUUUCUGUGUUUUGGAUAUUAACCCCUUAUCCGAUACACGGUUUGCAAGAAUCUUCUCCCAGUUGUUAGGUUGUGUUUUGGUUUUGUGGAUGGUUUCCUUUGCGGUGCAGAGGAUUUUUUUUGACUUUGAUGUAGUCCCAUUUGUUCAUUUUGUAUUUUGUUUCCGUUGCCCAGUCAGACGUGGUACUUGAAAAUAGGCUGCUAGACUGAUGUCAAAGAGCACACUGCCUAUGUUUUCUUGUAGAG